ACGAACGCUGGCGGCUUGCUUAACACAUGCAAGUCGAACGGAAAGGCCCUGCUUUUGUGGGGUGCUCGAGUGGCGAACGGGUGAGUAACACGUGAGUAACCUGCCCUUGACUUUGGGAUAACUUCAGGAAACUGGGGCUAAUACCGGAUAGGAGCUCCUGCUGCAUGGUGGGGGUUGGAAAGUUUCGGCGGUUGGGGAUGGACUCGCGGCUUAUCAGCUUGUUGGUGGGGUAGUGGCUUACCAAGGCUUUGACGGGUAGCCGGCCUGAGAGGGUGACCAGCCACAUUGGGACUGAGAUACGGCCCAGACUCGUACGGGAGGCAGCAGUGGGGAAUAUUGCACAAUGGGCGGAAGCCUGAUGCAGCAACGCCGCGUGCGGGAUGACGGCCUUCGGGUUGUAAACCGCUUUCGCCUGUGACGAAGCGUGAGUGACGGUAAUGGGUAAAGAAGCACCGGCUAACUACGUG
rnacentral:rRNA from 1 species